UUGACAGCCCUGGAAACUGAAGUCUUCUCUUUAUCCACAAACUGCAGGCACAACACAAACAGCUUCCCUCUUUUUGAUAUUUCAGUGCGUCUCAAGAUUGAUUUUUGGGGGAAGCACAUAUAGGAGGAAUUUCCUUCCAGUAUCCCACCUUUGUGUUGAGACUGCC
rnacentral:sRNA from 1 species